CUGUCCGAGUUGUGCUAUGAUGCUCCAAGCAUCUCAGAGUUUGAAGCCGUCAGAUCUCGCACUUAGAGAUGCUCUGUGACAAUUCAAGCGAGGAUUUCGAAAUCACGAGGCGCUCAGAUCUGACACACUGCUUGUCCCAAAUAUCUUGGAUAAUGGGCACUCAACCUAUAAGGGCCCUUGUCUGAAAUAAGAGACUCUGACUUAAUUAUGAUCAUUAGCAAAUGGGGCUUCUUGAGUCUUCACCAGCUUGCGGCUGUUGGAAGGAAUCCCCAGCGACCUUGUCGUCCACCCAUGCCAGUGAUAGAGAUGUUCAACCAUUCGGCUCACCUCUCACUGAACACUCAGCGAGGCCAAGACCGUGUGUUGGGCACCUGAGCCACAGCUGUGAACGUGGCGAGCGUUGAGGACACGUCCACUCCACACCUCUUGCUUUUUCCCCUACUCUAUAACGUAUUUCACAGAUAAUUGCUCGUAAACAUUUCUAUUACGCUACUUUCUUGACUGUGUGUGUGCACACCAUAACACACGUGUGGAGGCCAGAGGGCAGCUUGGGGGAGUCAGAUCUGUUCUUCCACAGGUAUGUGUCACAGGGGUCAAACUCAGGUCCUCAAGCUGUGUGAUAAGAGCCUUACCUGCUUUGUCAUCUUUCCAGCCCCCCCCCCCAGUUCAUGAUAAUAGAAAAGAUCUGUUUGUUCCUUU